AUUGAACGCUGGCGGCAGGCCUAACACAUGCAAGUCGAGCGGAGCGGCGGACGGGUGAGUAAUGCCUAGGAAUCUGCCUGGUAGUGGGGGAUAACGUCCGGAAACGGGCGCUAAUACCGCAUACUAUCAGAUGAGCCUAGGUCGGAUUAGCUAGUUGGUGGGGUAAAGGCCUACCAAGGCGACGAUCCGUAACUGGUCUGAGAGGAUGAUCAGUCGAACGGGAACUGGGACACGGUCCAAACGCCUACGGGAGGCAGCAGUGGGGAAUAUUGGACAAUGGGCGAAAGCCUGAUCGAGCCAUGCCGCGUGUAUGAAGAAGGCCUUAGGGUUGUAAAGUACUUUCAGCGGGGAGGCGUUACCCGCAGAAGAAGCACCGGCUAACUCCGUGCCAGCAGCCGCGGUAAUAC
rnacentral:rRNA from 1 species